AGGAUUAACGCUGGCGGCGUGCAUGAAACAUGCAAGUCGAGCGCGGUGUGAUGCGGGGUAACCCAAUUCACAUCUAGCGGCGAACGGGUGAGUAACACGUGAGCAAUCUACCUUUGAGUUGGGGAUAGCCCUGGGAAACCAGGAUUAAUACCCGAUGUGGUCACAACAGGACAUCCUGAUGUGAGUAAAGGCGUAAGCCGCUCAAUGACGGGCUCGCGGCCUAUUAGCUUGUUGGUGGGGUAACGGCCUACCAAGGCGAUGAUGGGUAGCUGGUCUGAGAGGACGAUCAGCCACACUGGGACUGAGACACGGCCCAGACUCCUACGGGAGGCAGCAGUUAGGAAUUUUCCGCAAUGGGCGAAAGCCUGACGGAGCAACGCCGCGUGAGUGAUGAAGACCUUCGGGUUGUAAAGCUCUGUCGGAGGGGAAGAACACAAUGACGGUACCCUCCAAGAAACGCCCGGCUAACUACGUGCCAGCAGCCGCGGUAA
rnacentral:rRNA from 1 species